rnacentral:lncRNA from 1 species
UUAAGGGUGUGUUUGAUUCCACGUAAAAUUGUAGAAAAAAAAUUUCCGGUGAAAAAAAAUUUCGGUGGGAAAAUGGUUUUACGUUGUUAGUGUUUGGUUUGUAGGAAAAGAAAAAUAGUUUUUGACGAUUGUUUGGUUGGAAGGAAUAAUAAUAGAUAAAAAAUUAUUUAAUAUUUUUUUAUUAUAUAUUAUUAAUAUAUAAUAAUUAAUAUAUUUUAUAUAUUAUUAUAAUUUUUAUAUA